rnacentral:rRNA from 1 species
GACAGAGGGUGCAAACGUUGCUCGGAAUUACUGGGCGUAAAGCGCACGUAGGCGGCUUGGUAUGUCGGGUGUGAAAUCCCCGGGCUCAACCUGGGAACUGCAUCCGAAACUGCCUUGCUCGAGUAUGGGAGAGGGAAGUGGAAUUGCCGGUGUAGCGGUGAAAUGCGUAGAUAUCGGAAGGAACAUCAGUGGCGAAGGCGACUUCCUGGACCAAUACUGACGCUCAGGUGCGAAAGCGUGGGGAGCAAACAGG